rnacentral:rRNA from 1 species
AGGACGAACGCUGGCGGCGUGCUUAACACAUGCAAGUCGAGCGGAAAGGCCCUUCGGGGUACUCGAGCGGCGAACGGGUGAGUAACACGUGAGCAAUCUGCCCUUAGCUUCGGGAUAGCUCCGGGAAACCGGAAUUAAUACCGAAUAUGACUUCGGCCGACAUCGGCCUUGGUGGAAAGUUUUUCGGCUAGGGAUGAACUCGCGGCCUAUCAGCUUGUUGGUGGGGUAAUGGCCUACCAAGGCGACGACGGGUAGCCGGCCUGAGAGGGCGACCGGCCACACUGGGACUGAGACACGGCCCAGACUCCUACGGGAGGCAGCAGUGGGGAAUAUUGCGCAAUGGGCGAAAGCCUGACGCAGCGACGCCGCGUGGGGGAUGAAGGCCUUCGGGUUGUAAACCCCUUUCAGCAGGGACGAAGCGAAAGUGACGGUACUGCAGAAGAAGCGCCGGCUAACUACGUGCCAGCAGCCGC